rnacentral:ncRNA from 1 species
UGCCAUAAGGGUUUAUAGUAUUACAAACCCUUAUGGCAACCAUGUAGCAUGAAGCA